GCUGGGCGCGGUGGCGCGCGCCUGUAGUCCCAGCUACUCGCGAGGCUGAGGCAGGAGGAUCGCUUGAGCCCAGGAGUUCUGGACUGUAGUGCGCUAUGCGACCUCCCGGGAGCGGGGGACCACCAGGUUGCCUAAGGAGGGGUGAACCGGCUCAGGUCGGAAACGGAGCAGGUCAAAAAAAAAAUCUCUAAAAGGCAUUAAAGAGAAAGGUCUUGUGGAAUCUGGGUGGCUCAGUGGGUUAAAGCCUCU
rnacentral:SRP_RNA from 1 species